UCCAGACUCCUACGGGAGGCAGCAGUGGGGGAUAUUGCACAAUGGGGGGAACCCUGAUGCAGCGACGCCGCGUGGGUGGAGGAGCGUUUCGGCGCGUAAAGCCCUCUCGGCAGGGAAGAAGGAGGACGGUACCUGACUAAGAAGCCCCGGCUAACUACGUGCCAGCAGCCGCGGUAAUACGUAGGGGGCAAGCGUUAUCCGGAUUUACUGGGUGUAAAGGGAGCGUAGACGGCGAUGCAAGCCAGAUGUGAAAGCCCGGGGCUCAACCCCGGGACUGCAUUUGGAACUGUGUGGCUGGAGUGUCGGAGAGGCAGGCGGAAUUCCUAGUGUAGCGGUGAAAUGCGUAGAUAUUAGGAGGAACACCAGUGGCGAAGGCGGCCUGCUGGACGAUGACUGACGUUGAGGCUCGAAAGCGUGGGGAGCAAACAGGAUUAGAUACCCUAGUA
rnacentral:rRNA from 1 species